rnacentral:rRNA from 1 species
UACGUAGGGUGCGAGCGUUAAUCGGAAUUACUGGGCGUAAAGCGUGCGCAGGCGGUUUUGUAAGCCAGAUGUGAAAGCCCCGGGCUUAACCUGGGAAUGGCAUUUGGGACUGCAAGGCUGGAGUGUGGCAGAGGAGACUGGAAUUCCUGGUGUAGCAGUGAAAUGCGUAGAUAUCAGGAGGAAUACCGAUGGCGAAGGCAGGUCUCUGGGACGGUACUGACGCUGAGGAGCGAAAGCAUGGGGAGCGAACAGG